rnacentral:rRNA from 1 species
UCAAGUUAUUAAGGGUGCAGGGCGGAUGCCUUGGCACUAGGAGCCGAUGAAGGACGUGAUAAGCUGCGAUAAGCUUCGGGGAGUUGCACGUAAACUUUGAUCCGAAGAUUUCCGAAUGAGGAAACUCACUUAGAGUAAUGUCUAAGUAUCAUUAAGUGAAUACAUAGCUUAAUGAGGGGAACUCAGGGAACUGAAACAUCUAAGUACCUGAAGGAAGAGAAAGAAAUUCGAUUCCGUAAGUAGCGGCGAGCGAACGCGGAUUAGCCCAAACCAAUAAAGUUUUCUUUAUUGGGGUUGCGGACAUAUCAUAACGAAGAGGUAUCGUAAUUGAAGAGGUUUGGAAAGACCCACCACAGAAGGUAAUAGUCCUGUAUGUUAAACGAGAAGACUUUAGAUAUGAUCCAGAGUACCACGGGACACGUGAAACCCUGUGGGAAGCAGGAGGGACCACCCUCCAAGGCUAAAUACUACCUAGUGACCGAUAGCGUAUAGUACCGUGAGGGAAAGGUGAAAAGAACCCCGGGAGGGGAGUGAAAUAGAACCUGAAACCCUGCACUUACAAGCUGUGGAAGCACAUUUCUUGUGUGACCGCGUACUUUUUGUAGAACGGGCCAACGAGUUACGUUAAGUAGCAAGGUUAAGCACUUAAGGUGCGGAGCCGUAGCGAAAGCGAGUUUUAACUGAGCGUUCAGUUACUUGACGUAGACCCGAAACCGGGCGACCUACCCAUGAGCAGGAUGAAGCGAAAGUAAAAUUUCGUGGAGGUCCGAACCCACGAGCGUUGAAAAGCUCGGGGAUGACUUGUGGGUAGCGGUGAAAUUCCAAUCGAGCCCGGAGAUAGCUGGUUCUCCCCGAAAUAGCUUUAGGGCUAGCCUCAAGGUGAGAGAUACGGAGGUAGAGCACUGAAUGUCCUAGGGGGUAUUGCACCUACCGAAGACUAUCAAACUCCGAAUGCCGUCAUCUUAUACUUGGGAGUCAGACUGUGGGUGAUAAGAUUCAUAGUCGAAAGGGCAACAGCCCAGAUCGUCAGCUAAGGUCCCUAAAUGUAAGUUAAGUGGUAAAGGAUGUGGGAUUGCACAGACAACCAGGAUGUUGGCUUAGAAGCAGCCACUCAUUCAAAGAGUGCGUAAUAGCUCACUGGUCGAGUGAUCCUGCGCCGAAGAUUUCCGGGGCUAAAACUUACUACCGAAGCUACGGCAUCAGUAAUGAUGGGUAGGGGAGCUUCCCAUACGGGUUGAAGCAUGACCGUAAGGACAUGUGGACAGUAUGGGAGUGAGAAUGUUGGCAUGAGUAGCGAGAUGUGGGUGAGAAUCCCACAGGCCGUAAACCCAAGGUUUCCAGGGGAAGGUUCGUCCGCCCUGGGUUAGUCGGGACCUAAGCUGAGGCCGAAAGGCGUAGGUGAUGGACAACAGGUUGAUAUUCCUGUACUACCGAUAACCGUUUGAGAGAAGGGAUGACACAGUAGGAUAAGCUAAGCACACUGUUGGUUAUGUGUGCCCAAGCAUUGAGGCAGUCAAAGUAGGUAAAUCCGCUUUGAUAAUGCUGGGAUGUGAUGGGGAGCGAAAUUUAGUAGCGAAGUAGCUGAUUUCACACUGUCAAGAAAAGUCUCUAUCGAGGUUAAAGGUACCCGUACCGCAAACCGACACAGGUGGGUGAGGAGAGUAUCCUAAGGCCAGCGAGAGAACUGUUGUUAAGGAACUCGGCAAAAUGACCCCGUAACUUAGGGAUAAGGGGUGCCACCAUCAGGUGGCCGCAGAGAAUAGGCCCAAGCGACUGUUUACCAAAAACAUAGGUUUCUGCUAAGUCGCAAGACGAUGUAUAGGAGCUGACGCCUGCCCGGUGCUGGAAGGUUAAGGGGAUCUGUUAGAGCAAUCGAAGCAGUGAACUUAAGCCCCAGUAAACGGCGGCCGUAACUAUAACGGUCCUAAGGUAGCGAAAUUCCUUGUCGGGUAAGUUCCGACCCGCACGAAAGGCGUAACGAUUUGGGCACUGUCUCAACAACAGACUCGGUGAAAUUGUAAUUCCGGUGAAGAUGCCGGAUACCUGCGACAGGACGGAAAGACCCCAUGGAGCUUUACUGUAGCUUGACAUUGGGUCUUGGUACUACAUGUACAGGAUAGGUGGGAGGCUUUGAAACCAGGACGCCAGUUUUGGCGGAGCCAUCCUUGGGAUACCACCCUUGUAGUACUGGGACUCUAACCAUAGGCCAUGAAUCUGGUCUUGGGACACUGUCAGGUGGGCAGUUUGACUGGGGCGGUCGCCUCCCAAAAGGUAACGGAGGCGCUCAAAGGUUCUCUCAGUACGGUCGGAAAUCGUACGUAGAGUGUAAAGGCAAAAGAGAGCUUGAUUGCAAGACAUACAGGUCGAGCAAGGAUGAAAAUCGGACUUAGUGAUCCGGUGGUUCUGCGUGGAAGGGCCAUCGCUCAACGGAUAAAAGCUACCCUGGGGAUAACAGGCUUAUCUCCCCCAAGAGUCCACAUCGACGGGGAGGUUUGGCACCUCGAUGUCGGCUCAUCACAUCCUGGGGCUGUAGUAGGUCCCAAGGGUUGGGCUGUUCGCCCAUUAAAGUGGUACGCGAGCUGGGUUCAGAACGUCGUGAGACAGUUCGGUCCCUAUCCGUCGCAGGCGUAGGAAAUUUGAGAAGACCUGUCCUUAGUACGAGAGGACCGGGAUGGACGUACCUCUGGUGUACCAGUUGUCUGCCAAGGGCAUGGCUGGGUAGCUAUGUACGGAAUGGAUAAGCGCUGAAAGCAUCUAAGCGCGAAGCCAACUUCAAGAUAAGAUUUCCCACCGCAAGGGUAAGACCCCAGAAAGACUAUCUGGUUGAUAGGUCGAAGGUGUAAGUGCAGCAAUGUAUUUAGCUUAUCGAUACUAAUAGGUCGAGGACUUGACCAA